UGAGGAAUAUUGGUCAAUGGGCGGAAGCCUGAACCAGCCAAGUCGCGUGAGGGAAUAAGGCCCUACGGGUCGUAAACCUCUUUUGCCGGGGAGCAAGGGCGGGGGAC
rnacentral:rRNA from 1 species